rnacentral:rRNA from 1 species
UGGGGAAUAUUGCACAAUGGGCGAAAGCCUGAUGCAGCAACGCCGCGUGAGUGAUGAAGGUCUUCGGAUUGUAAAGCUCUGUCUUUUGGGACGAUAAUGACGGUACCAAAGGAGGAAGCCACGGCUAACUACGUGCCAGCAGCCGCGGUAAUACGUAGGUGGCGAGCGUUGUCCGGAUUUACUGGGCGUAAAGGGUGCGUAGGCGGAUGUUUAAGUGAGAUGUGAAAUACCCGGGCUUAACUUGGGUGCUGCAUUUCAAACUGGAUAUCUAGAGUGCAGGAGAGGAGAAUGGAAUUCCUAGUGUAGCGGUGAAAUGCGUAGAGAUUAGGAAGAACACCAGUGGCGAAGGCGAUUCUCUGGACUGUAACUGACGCUGAGGCACGAAAGCGUGGGUAGCAAACAGGAUUAGAUACCCUGGUAGUCCACGCCGUAAACGAUGAGUACUAGGUGUAGGAGGUAUCGACCCCUUCUGUGCCGCAGUAAACGCAUUAAGUACUCCGCCUGGGAAGUACCGAUCGCAAGAUUAAAACUCUAAAGUGAAUU